CUGAAGGUGCUUGUGCUGGAGCUUGAAUUUCAGCCUGCAGAUAGCUGGCUGUGGUGGUUGGUGAUGCUCACAGCACAGGGUGUGAAGGCCUUGCAUAGGAGCUGAGGAGGCAUGAGACGGUCGGCACCCUCCAGUUCCUGGGAGGUCCCAAAAGUCCUUGGGCAACGGAGGGGGAGACAGUGGCUGUGGGGGGCUGGGACAGCAGACUUUGCCUGAGCUCAGGAUUGGAGUAGCUCAGUUCCUGAUGAGAGCGCAUCACAUCCAUUCCUACUGUCCUGCUUUCUUUCUAAAGGAACUGACCAAGAAACUGAGCAGGAUGCAGAAGGCACUAGGGUGCUCUGAGAUGUCGCUUGGUCCCCCUGCAGCACGCAUGACUGCUCUGGGGCGUGUCUGGAUAUCUGCAGAGCAAACUGUGGGGCCCUGAGAAACCUCUGUGGCACAUUAGGGAGCACUGGAAGCCGGAGUCAACAGGGGAGUCCUUGGAGACCCCUUGGUAAGACUCCAUGGGCCCUGGAGUGUAGGAGCAGCUCGGGCUGGUCACACCUGCUUGGCUGGGAGCUGAUUGGCUGGGAGGUGAUUCCCUUUUUUUGAUUAAUUUAAUUACCGGAUGAUAAUUAAAUAACACUGUUCAACAUUCGUUAAAGAUUACUUUUUUCCCAAAGUUCUGUCACGCAGCUGUUGCAGCUUUGCUAAAAUAUGCUGAGUUUAUUCAAAAUUCCACUGAUGCUCCUACAGCACUCAGAGUGCGUUUGGGGGCAGUGAUAAAACGGCUCUGACAGAUUCGUCAUUAACGUGCGUUAUGCGGCAAUCCGGGCCUCCUUGGGCUGCGUAAAUUCAGUUUCACCACCGCGUUCCAUCUCCCUUCGGCGCGGCAGUGGAGCCGGAGACCCACUCAACAUGGCGCCGCCGUGGCACCGCUCUGCAUCCCGUUCCUACCUUCCUCCCAUCAUGCACUGCGCGACAACAGCCGUUCCGGUUUCGGCGCUGCGGUGAUUGGUCCAUCCUCUCCCCUGACCGGAAGUGAGCGUUCCGACAGCGAAGUUCGAACGCGAGCUGUCGGCCGGGCCGCGCUCUGUGCAGCUGCCGGCUGCCCCGCUCUCUUUCGGCCCGUCGGAGCGCGGAUCCGGUGCUUGGAGGAUCUCAAGGUCUUGUGGAAUUCAGGAUGUCUGCCAUCGACUACCAGGAAAUUCUCAAGCACUAUGAAUUACAUGAAACAAUUGGAACGGGUGGUUUUGCAAAGGUGAAACUCGGACGGCAUCUUCUUACUGGUGAAGAAGUUGCAACAAAAAUCAUGGACCAAGUUGCUUUAGGGGAUGACUUGCCUCGUGUUAGAACAGAAAUUGGUGCCAUGAAGAACUUAAGUCAUCAAGAUGUUUGCCAAUUGCAUCAUGUGAUAGAGACAUCAAAGAAAAUAUUCAUGGUCUUGGAGCACUGUCCUGGAGGGAAGCUGUUUGAUUAUAUUGUUUCUAAGGACCACCUUUCAGAAGAGGAAGCUCGAGUCUUUUUUCGACAGACUGUUUCAGCAAUUGCUUAUGUUCCCAGUCAGGGUCGUGCCCACAGAGACCUCAAACCAGAAAAUCCGCUGAUUGAUGAGAAACAUGUUUCUCAUAAUUUGAAGCUGACAGACUUUGGACUCUGUGCAAAGCCAAAGGGAGGCCUUGAUGACCACCUGAACACGUGCUGUGGGAGCCCAGCAUGUGCAGCACCAGAGCUUAUCCAGGGCAAAGCCUAUAUUGGCUCAGAGGCAGAUUUUUGGAGCAUGGGUGCACUGCGGUACGCUCUGCUGUGUGGGUUUCUUCCUUUUGAUGAUGGCAGUGUGAUGGCACUCUGCAGGAGGACAACAGGAGAGAGGAAAACACACUGUUCCAAAAUGGCUUUCCCCUAGCAGCACGCUGCUACUUGACCAACUGCUGCAGGCACCUUGAAGUUCUUAGGAAAAGAAUAACUGUCUCCAGUUCUUCUGCACCUUCAGAAAGUUUGCAGGCAGCCCCGUGCUGAGAGGUGCGGUGGAUCAAACAGGAGCUGGGGCACCUUGAUGAAGACUGUGCAACAGAACUUGCUGUGUUUCACCACCAGAGCAGAGAGAGUAUAUCAGCAUUAAUAUCAGAGGUAAUGAAUGUGGAAUUGUGACCAGAUGUCACAACCUAUCUCUUGCUUCAAUCCAGGAAGGUUCGUGGCAAGCGCAUCCACUUCAGGAUUCCAUCACAAACGACGUGCAGUACAACACAGCCAGCAAGCCAGGGAAGAAUCUCAACUGAACGCUUCUUUUCAGUCUGAAAAGGCUGUGACAUCUGAAAGUGUGCCAGGUUGCAGCCAUGUGCCACAUGCGUUUGGAUCCAUGGAAUUUGCUGAUGGAACUUCAUUGUUUGAAGAAUCUCCACUAGAAGAGUUUGUUCUAAAUGCUCACAGAACAAAGCAGGUAUCUGAAGAUCCAGUGCUGGUUUCUGACAGAAAAAAUACAAUUCUUAAUCCAGAAAUCUGCUUCUCAGUGUGUAUAAUGCUUAUUACAUAUUUAAGUACCUAGUGGACCUUGACCAAAGGGAGAUACAGAUUGAGCAAAGAAGUAUGUUGAGCAUCAAUUGUGAUGCCUUCUACCUGAAAGCCGUGGUUCAUUUGAUGAGAACCUUAACUUCAGUGUUCGGUUUGCACUGAAACAGCGAGUAAGGAAACAAGUGAAGGAGUCAGUGAGGAUUUUAAAACAAAAUGGGAAGUGAUAAGGCACAGUUAAUAAGAUUUUGGAGUUAGGCAAGAGGUGGACAGAGCUUUAAAGGUACCGACAGAAAUUCAAUCUCUCUGUAUUGGACAAGAAAACCCACAGUGAAACAAUUCAAAUUUUGCAGCUGAAAAAGUGAUAAUUCAUAGCUAUGUUUAGAUAAGCUGGUGAGGAAUAAUCCUAAAUGUAGAAUUUAGAUGAACAGAUAGAAAAAUGGCACUUGACAAUCUAUAAGAAGCAAACUCAUUUUAGGGGAGAAUCAGAGGUACUGAAGAGUUUUUAACUGCUUUGCUCAAUAGACAAGUAGUGUAGGAUGUUUUUAUAAGCAUUGUGUCUGACCUGCUUAGAUGUUAGAAUUUCCUUGACAGUGACUUCUCUGGAUGUGAUUGCAGUACCUGGCAGCAUUCGAGGUGUGAUACUCAGCUGGGCAAUAUGGAAUUCACACUGUCAGCUCCAGUGACAGGAAAAGUGGCAUCUGUGAAGCAUGCAAAGAAAUGUGGAUGCAGAGUCAGCAUGAAGAAAUGCGCUGCCCUUUGCACUUCCUGCUCCAAAGGCCUCCUUUCCAAAGAGUGAGACACAGAAGCAAGUGCAAGGCAAACCCCUCCAGGCACCUCCUUCCACAGGUAUGUUGUGUCUAACAGAUGAGAACCUAGAACGUGUGCAGCUUAGGGAUUUUUUAAAUUCAAAUGUGAACACAAUACUUGUAGAUCCUAACCUUCUGUUUCUGGAAGAUUUAGGUUUGGGGUUUUUUUGGUCACAGCGCAUGUAUUCACCAGCCUGUACAUCUGACAGUGACUGCAGCUGCUUUAGCCGUGUGUCAGGGCAGGUUGCUGGUCUGUUCAUUACAGAAGUUCUCACAAGGAGGUGCCUUUAGAUGCAUCCAGAUAAUGAGACAAUGGCUGUUCCUAAAACUGGCACGUGGUUCCCCUUCUCGUGGAGAUCUAGGAGAAAAUUUCUUCAACGUUCAUUAUGUUUUUUGGUUUUCUUCUGGGCUGCUAUUUGGAGUGAAAGAAAAGGGUAAAUGCUUUUACUUAACUGUGCUCUUAUUGCAUCUUGCUUCUAAACGAAAUGUAACCUGUACUUUCACAAAUCUGCUUGGUGUGGCAUUGAAAAUACUGAGGCUAGCAAUGUUAACACCUGCAUUUAUGUGGUGGACCAGAAACGUGUCCAUGCUGUAUCAGCUCCUCUGGGUUACAGAGAUGUUUGUCCUCAUCCUUAGUGUUGAUACUGCACGUGUUCACUCUGCCCUUUAAAGUAUUAAGCACUUCUUACAAUUGAAGAUUCUUCUGUUCCAAGUGCUAGGGAAUAUUGUUCA